UUACGGCCACAUUAAUUUGGAGACACCGGUUCUCUUACGAUCACCAAAGUUAAGGAUCAUCGAGCCUGGUCAAUAACUAGAUGGGUGAACGCCUGGGAAUAGCAAGUGCGGUAAG